rnacentral:rRNA from 1 species
UACAGGGGGUGCAAACGUUGCUCGGAAUCAUUGGGCGUAAAGCGCACGUAGGCGGUUCGUUAUGUCGGAUGUGAAAGCCCUUGGCUUAACCGAGGAAGUGCAUCCGAAACUGGCGAGCUAGAGUACUAAAGAGGAUCGCGGAAUUCCCCGGUGUAGAGGUGAAAAUUCGUAGAUAUCAGGAGGAACACCGAUGGCGAAGGCAGGUCUCUGGGCAUU